AUUGAACGCUGGCGGCAGGCCUAACACAUGCAAGUCGAGCGGCUGAAGGUAGCUUGCUCCUGGUUUCAGCGGCGGACGGGUGAGUAAUGCCUAGUAAUCUGCCUGGUUGUGUGUGAUAACGUCCGGAAACGGGCGCUAAUACCCCAUACGUCCUGAGGGAGUAAGUGUGUGUUCUUCGUACCUCCCGCUAUCAGUUGAUCCUAUGUCGGAUUAGCUAGUUGGUGGGUUAAAGGCCUACCAAGGCGACGAUCCGUAACUGGUCUGAGAGGAUGAUCAGACAAACUGGAACUGAGACACGGUAAAGAAUAAUACGGGAGGCAGAAGUGGGGAAUAUUGGACAAUGGGAGAAAGCAUGAUCAAGAAAUGCCGCGUGGGUGAAGAAGGGAUUCGGAUUGUAAAGAACUUUAAGUGGGGAGGAAGGGAAGUAAGUUAAUACCUUGCUGUUUUGACGUUACAAACAGAAUAAGCACCGGCUAACUUAGUG
rnacentral:rRNA from 1 species